UACGUAGGGUGCGAGCGUUAAUCGGAAUUACUGGGCGUAAAAGCGUGCGCAGGCGGCGCGUUAAGACAGGUGUGAAAAGCCCCGAGCUUAACUUGGGAAUUGCGCUUGUGACUGGCGAGCUGGAGUGUGGCAGAGGGAGGUGGAAUUCCACGUGUAGCAGUGAAAUGCGUAGAGAUGUGGAGGAACACCGAUGGCGAAGGCAGCCUCCUGGGCCAGCACUGACGCUCAUGCACGAAAGCGUGGGGAGCAAACAGG
rnacentral:rRNA from 1 species